GGUAGAAUAGCAGCGUUUAAUGUUUAGGCAGGACUGAGGCCGGGAGCGCGCUUUCCUCUUUGUUUACCUUCGAUGUUGUGAGCAUGCGCAGAAGCACCAUGACAGGGGUCAGUGGAAGCCCUAGGUUAUCUGACCCUUGAUUUGAUUGAGAAGAGUCUUUGAGAUAGCAUAACAUAAUAAAAUUAUAAAAAACAUUAACUCAUAAAAUAACAGACUAUCUAUUUAUAUAUCUAUCUUAAAGUUAGUAAACAUAGUAAGGAAAAGCAUUUAACAUUGUAUCAUCACGCGCAUCUUUAUUUACGAAAUGUAUAUUUUAUUUCUUUUUUCAUUGAAUUCCAGCGUCUGUAUUACAGUAGUUUUGAUAAUAUGGUAGCUAUUGUGGUUUUGUUUUGACUGUUGAAGGAUGGUGGGAAAAUGAAAAUAUUAUUACGCAUAAUCUAUAUAACUGUAUAUUUGUACAAGCCAUUAUUUUAUUUUAAGGUACAGCAUUGAAGGAGUCUUUGACCUUGUGCUUAUUUGUCUCAGAAGCAGUUUCCUAUAGUAGUGAAUCUUGAAAAUCAAGGAAGACAUCCAGACAGCUUAUUGUGAACUGUCUGGUGAAACUGAGAGGUGCAGUAAUUUUAGUGGACUCAUUCUAGAGUAGACAGGCAGAUAGAUCAGAUAGAGGUCUUACACCUCCGUGAAGUUGGCACCCCAGUGGUGUCCAGCAGAUGGUGCUUUAAGCCUAAAAAAUACAAUGCACCAUGAUCUGAUUUUAUAUUGUUAGACUAUUUGUGAGAAUUUUAUUAUUAAGUCUUUGAAAGUGUAGAUUGAUUGACUUAAUUAUUCCCUUUCUUUUGUUUUGUUUUUUAAUUGUUUUCUCUUUGAACGUACAAGCGGUGUGUGGCAAAUACAAUUUGUCAAAUCCCAAACUAAAUGACUUUUAUUUUGAAAUUCAGUCUACUUUGAUGCUCACAACCGUUCCGGAAGUGGAAGCUGUUGUCAACGGAAGUAGAUUGAGUAAUAGUUGGUCUCCGUUGAUCGAGUGCACCUUACAAGCCACAUUUAGGGGCGCUGCACUUGCCAGAGGUUCAGGGAUUUCUUCAGCUCUCCACCUUUUGCUUUAGGACAGGCUUCCAGCUAUGUCUACUGUGGUGGAUCUAAGAACUAAGGAGGAGAAAGAACGCAGAGUCUGCCAGAUUGUUUAUUUGGUGUAUCGCUAGUGAUUAUUUAAUUUGACUUAAAGUAUUAUUCAUUGUACAGGGAUUCAGUCCUUGAGAUGUUCAGAUUCAAGGUUAUUAUCUUGGUCAGUUUUAUUAAUUCAUUCAGCUUGCUUGUCUUCUCUUGUGUCACCAGGAAAUACAGGAAGAUAAGAAAAAGGCUGAACAGGAGGGCAUCGCUGUGACAACAACUCGCAAACCCCGCCCUCAUGAGCCUGAGUCCGAACGGAGAAAGACGGAAAAGGAAAACUUUACAGUGACAGUUGACUUGUCCAAACCUGCUGGGGUAAAGACAGAUGGCAGAAUAUUAUCAUAGAAUGGCCUUUUACCAUAAUACUCCACUAUCAUAAUUGGUUCUGCAAAAAAUGGAGUGUCUUAAAUAUCAGGUGUGGUCUCUCUUAUGCAGAAACCUUUUAGAAAUAAAGUUUUAAUUGUUUUACUGGGUCAUUUUUACCUUUAUAAGAUAUUG
rnacentral:lncRNA from 1 species